rnacentral:rRNA from 1 species
CUGGAGGUAUCAGAAGUGCGAAUGCUGACAUAAGUAACGAUAAAGCGGGUGAAAAGCCCGCUCGCCGGAAGACCAAGGGUUCCUGUCCAACGUUAAUCGGGGCAGGGUGAGUCGACCCCUAAGGCGAGGCCGAAAGGCGUAGUCGAUGGGAAACGGGUUAAUAUUCCCGUACUUGGUGUUACUGCGAAGGGGGGACGGAGAAGGCUAUGUUGGCCGGGCGACGGUUGUCCCGGUUUAAGCGUGUAGGUGUGUGUUCCAGGUAAAUCCGGUUCACUUUAACACUGAGGCGUGAUGACGAGGCACUACGGUGCUGAAGCAACAAAUGCCCUGCUUCCAGGAAAAGCCUCUAAGCAUCAGGUAACAUCAAAUCGUACCCCAAACCGACACAGGUGGUCAGGUAGAGAAUACCAAGGCGCUUGAGAGAACUCGGGUGAAGGAACUAGGCAAAAUGGUGCCGUAACUUCGGGAGAAGGCACGCUGACACGUAGG